rnacentral:rRNA from 1 species
AUUGAACGCUGGCGGCAGGCCUAACACAUGCAAGUCGAACGAGUGGGGGACGGGAGAGUUAUGAAUGGGAAAGUGCGUGAUGGAUGGCGAUAAGUACUGGACACGGUAACUAAUACCGUCCACAAUAGGAUAUGCCCAGAUGGGAUUAGCUUGUGGGUGGGGUAUAGGCUCACCAAGGCGACGAUCCCGAGCUGGUCUGAGAGGAUGACCAGUCACACUGGAACUGAGACACGGUCCAGACUCCUACGGGAGGCAGCAGUGGGGAAUAUUGCACAAUGGGCGCAAGCCUGAUGCAGCCAUGCCGCGUGUAUGAAGAAGGCCUUCGGGUUGUAAAGUACUUUAAGCGGGGAGGCGUUACCCGCAGAAUAAGCACCGGCUAACUCCGUGCCAGCAGCCGCGGUAAUAC